CUAGCAUGUGUGAGGCACUGGAUUCAAAUCUCAGCACCACAUACAAAUAAAUAAGUAAAUAAAGGUCCAUCAACAACUAAAAAAUAUUUAAAGAAAAGAAAACAGUCAUGUAAGUAGCAGGUAGCAUCUGUUUUCUUUGUUUUAGGAGAAUUUUUUUUUUUCAGACAAUUUUUAAAAUUUGUUCUUAUUAGUUACACAAGAUAGUAGAAUGUAUUUUGACAUAUUUUUCAUAUAUGGAGUAUAACUGUUAAACCAUGAUGCAAAGAAAAGACCACUGACUCCAAUUUUAAAUCAAAUUAAAGCAAGCUUAUAUUGUGUACCCAAAUAGAGCUGGCCAGUGGCUGUCUCACCCAAGGCUUUGAGCGUGCUAAACAAGCCACUCUAUCACUGAGCUAUACACCCCCCAGCCCCUUUCCUACCUUCUUAGAUAAUUCCUUAAUCAUGUGGGAGGAUGCAGAUGAUUAAGAUCCUAAGUCAGCUCCUCCUGAGAGUUGCACACCCCACCAUCUGUCCCUGGCCAUGCUUUUGCCUUCUCCAGGGUCUGUUUGUGCAGACUCAACUCAGGCUAUUGGUUCUGCUGCAGAUUGCUCUAUCAAAUGUUCAGCUGUGUUAGAUGUGUAUGACUGUAAGUCACACAAAAGUAGCUACUCGUGACUUUUAACCAUGACAAUUGUUUGAGUUCUCAUCCGGAGAGAAAUACAAAUUAAAACUACAAUCAGAGCCAGGCAUAGUGGUACACUGCUGUAAUCCCAGCAACAAGCUGAGACCAGAGGAUCUCAAGUUCCAGUCCAGGCUCUGUAAUUUAGAAAGACCUUCAGCAAUUUAGUUCUCACUGGACCCUGUCUCAAAUUAAAAAAUAAAAAAGGGCUGGGAUGUAGCUCAGUAGCAAUGUGUCCCUGGGUUCAAUCCCUAGUACCUCCUCAAAACCCAAACACCUAGUUUCCCCAUCAAUGGGUGUGGCACUGUUAUUUGUCAACACGGGGUGUGGGAAAAGCAACUUUUUGUCCAGCUAGUGGCAGAAUUGGGGCAGGGCUCAUGGCCAGUUGGGCUCACUUGGGUAGCAAGUCUCAGCAUGAAUACUGCCAGACACUGCCCCAGCAAUUCCCCUUUCCGGAAGUGUUUAGGCAUACAAAUAAAACGUGUAUAGGAUUUAAACGUGUCUGUGUUCGUGGAAGAUUGCCAGUGACAUACAUCCUCAGGCCUUUAAUUUUUUUUAUUCUGGGCUGGGGUUGUGGCUCAGCUGUACAGUGCUCCCCUCGCACGUGCC
rnacentral:lncRNA from 1 species